GACGAACGCUGGCGGCGUGCUUAACACAUGCAAGUCGAACGGAAAGGCCCUGCUUUUGUGGGGUGCUCGAGUGGCGAACGGGUGAGUAACACGUGAGUAACCUGCCCUUGACUUUGGGAUAACUUCAGGAAACUGGGGCUAAUACCGGAUAGGAGCUCCUGCUGCAUGGUGGGGGUUGGAAAGUUUCGGCGGUUGGGGAUGGACUCGCGGCUUAUCAGCUUGUUGGUGGGGUAGUGGCUUACCAAGGCUUUGACGGGUAGCCGGCCUGAGAGGGUGACCGGCCACAUUGGGACUGAGAUACGGCCCAGACUCCUACGGGAGGCAGCAGUGGGGAAUAUUGCACAAUGGGCGGAAGCCUGAUGCAGCAACGCCGCGUGCGGGAUGACGGCCUUCGGGUUGUAAACCGCUUUCGCCUGUGACGAAGCGUGAGUGACGGUAAUGGGUAAAGAAGCACCGGCUAACUACGUGCCAGCAGCCGCGGUGAUACGUAGGGUGCGAGCGUUGUCCGGAUUUAUUGGGCGUAAAGGGCUCGUAGGUGGUUGAUCGCGUCGGAAGUGUAAUCUUGGGGCUUAACCCUGAGCGUGCUUUCGAUACGGGUUGACUUGAGGAAGGUAGGGGGAGAAUGGAAUUCCUGGUGGAGCGGUGGAAUGCGCAGAUAUCAGGAGGAACACCAGUGGCGAAAGCGGUUCUCUGGGGCUUUCCUGACGCUGAGGAGCGAAAGCGUGGGGAGCGAACAGGCUUAGAUACCCUGGUAGUCCACGCUGUAAACGGUGGGUACUAGGUGUGGGGUCCAUUCCACGGGUUCCGUGCCGUAGCUAACGCUUUAAGUACCCCGCCCUGGGGAGUACGGCCGCAAGGCUAAAACUCAAAGGAAUUGACGGGGGCCCCGCACAAGCGGCGGAGCAUGCGGAUUAAUUCGAUGCAACGCGUAGAACCUUACCUGGGUUUGACAUGGAUCGGGAGUGCUCAGAGAUGGGUGUGCCUCUUUUGGGGUCGGUUCACAGGUGGUGCAUGCCUGUCGUCAGCUCGUGUCGUGAGAUGUUGGGUUAAGUCCCGCAACGAGCGCAACCCUUGUUCACUGUUGCCAGCACGUUAUGGUGGGGACUCAGUGGAGACCGCCGGGGUCAACUCGGAGGAAGGUGGGGAUGACGUCAAGCCAUCAUGCCCCUUAUGUCCAGGGCUUCACGCAUGCUACAAUGGCUGGUACAGAGAGUGGCGAGCCUGUGAGGGUGAGCGAAUCUCGGAAAGCCGGUCUCAGUUCGGAUUGGGGUCUGCAACUCGACCUCAUGAAGUCGGAGUCGCUAGUAAUCGCAGAUCAGCAACGCUGCGGUGAAUACGUUCCCGGGGCU
rnacentral:rRNA from 1 species